rnacentral:rRNA from 1 species
AGCGAACGCUGGCGGCAGGCCUAACACAUGCAAGUCGAACGAAGUCUUCGGACUUAGUGGCGGACGGGUGAGUAACACGUGGGAACGUGCCUUUAGGUUCGGAAUAACUCAGGGAAACUUGUGCUAAUACCGAAUGUGCCCUUCGGGGGAAAGAUUUAUCGCCUUUAGAGCGGCCCGCGUCUGAUUAGCGAGUUGGUGAGGUAAAGGCUCACCAAGGCGACGAUCAGUAGCUGGUCUGAGAGGAUGAUCAGCCACAUUGGGACUGAGACACGGCCCAAACUCCUACGGGAGGCAGCAGUGGGGAAUCUUGCGCAAUGGGCGAAAGCUUGACGCAGCCAUGCCGCGUGAAUGAUGAAGGUCUUAGGAUUGUAAAAUUCUUUCACCGGGGACGAUAAUGACGGUACCCGGAGAAGAAGCCCCGGCUAACUUCGUGCCAGCCGCCGCGGUAAAAC